AGAGCAUUUCGAGAGAGGGAGUGAAGGAAGAGGAAUAAGAAGCUUGCUGCAGGUUGGAGGUUGAAGAAGGGAGGAAAAAGUUCAUGCAAGUGCAAUCAUGGAAGAAUCUGGGUUCAACCUACCUAUCUCUGGUUUUUAAGUUGGUUUGAGCUACACAAGAAGAACUAAGAGGCCAAGAGGAAAUAGGCCGAGUCUACAGACUAGGGAACUAACCAAGACUGUUAUAUUUCGUUGUUGAUGUUGUGUGUACUCCGUGACAAUGAUGCUGUCGUGAGUGCUGGGCGGGCCCCACUAUGACAAAGACGAUAGGAGUGCUAGACGGGCCCCACUACAUCGUAGAGCUAGUAAACGUUGGUUGUAUUGGGCGUGGCCUACACAACGUUAAUUUGUCAUGUUAGGUAAAAUGUUUUAUAUACUUGAUAUGCUUGCUAGAUUUUAAUGACGUACUUGCGGAAUAUUUGAGAAAGCUUUUAUCGUUACACGUUUAUGUUUAACGCUUUGAUUGAACACGUGUAACUAAGUCAUUGCGGUUUACAGAUUUACAGUUUUAAAUUAGUCACUCACUAGGCUUCGUAGCUCACUCUUUUAAAAUGUUUUCCCACUUUUCAAGUAGAGAUCGAGCUCCCGGUGCCUGA